AUGUUGGCUCAUUUGACCGGCCGGUUGAUUAAAUCAGCAAGUCCUCCUUCAACUCACCAUGUUCCAAGCCAUCAAAAAACAUGCACAAUUCAAAGCAAGUCAGCUCAUAUCAAACUGACUUCAAAACAUCUAUCAUACCAAAACAUAAACCAAGCAAUCCAUGGUUUCAAGUACACACCAUUCAAAUAUGCAAAAGAGUUCAUGAUAGCCCUGCCCGCGCUCGUUUAA